AUUGAACGCUGGCGGCAGGCCUAACACAUGCAAGUCGAGCGGAUGAAGGGAGCUUGCUCCUGGAUUCAGCGGCGGACGGGUGAGUAAUGCCUAGGAAUCUGCCUGGUAGUGGGGGAUAACGUCCGGAAACGGGCGCUAAUACCGCAUACGUCCUGAGGGAGAAAGUGGGGGAUCUUCGGACCUCACGCUAUCAGAUGAGCCUAGGUCGGAUUAGCUAGUUGGUGGGGUAAAGGCCUACCAAGGCGACGAUCCGUAACUGGUCUGAGAGGAUGAUCAGUCACACUAGAACUGAGACACGGUCCAGACUCCUACGGGAGGCAGCAGUGGGGAAUAUUGGACAAUGGGCGAAAGCCUGAUCCAGCCAUGCCGCGUGUGUGAAGAAGGUCUUCGGAUUGUAAAGCACUUUAAGUUGGGAGGAAGGGCAGUAAGUUAAUACCUUGCUGGUUUGACGUUACCAACAGAAUAAGCACCGGCUAACUUCGUG
rnacentral:rRNA from 1 species